UCAGGAGUUGGAGACCAGUCUGGGAAACAUGAUCAUUUCCAGAGAAGAUGAUGACAUUGGAAGGAGACAGUUACCCACCUCUAGUCCUGACCCUUCACUCAAGCCCCAGGGCUGCCUCAAACAAUCCAUGGCCAUGGCACCUUCAGCCUCUCCUUUGCAUCACUGUCAGAGCUGUCCAGUCACCCUGGGAGGCUUUAUGCUUCUGCCAGAGGUACAUCAUUCCCCAGGAUGGUGCCAGGCCUGCCUUUGCGACCAACCUCUGCUUUGAAUUCUCUACCUGUGGCAAGUCUUCCUCCUUUUGGAAACAACUAGAAGUUACCAAGGAUGAUGAGCAAGUUGGACAAUCAAAUUAGGUUUGCUCUGGUGAAUGAAGCAAGCUCCCAUGUUGUGCGGUGCCCUGUACAGAGAUCCCCAUGAGAAAGAUCUGAGGCCCUCAGUCCAAUAGUCCUUAGAAAACUGAAUCCUGUCAACAAUUGAAACAGUUUGCCAACAGUUUGGAAGAGGAUCACUAUCUAGAGAAGCCUGCAGAUAAGACCACAGCCUUGAGUGACACUUUGAUUACAUCCUUGUAAGAGACCCUAAAACAGAGGACCCAGUUAGGUAGUGCAGGACCCUGUACCCACAGAAAUAGUGUGUGGUGUAACAAGAAAUGUAUUUGGUCUUGGUCUCUGGUUCUUGGGACAGAGCUCCUAAAGCCCUUGGAAUUUCAUGAGUUUCUUUUGUUAUUCAUAAUGAAACCUUUUUGGUCACAUCUGAGUUUACAUUAAUGAGGUAACUUGCCCCUAGAUAGCCUCAGGAUGGGGCUGGUCACCAGAAAGACCAAGUGAUUAUAAGGUUAGAACUUUCAGGCCUACCAACAGACCUCCUGGAAGGCGGUAGAGAUUAAGCUCUUUGAAAACUCUUGCACAACAAUAAUAGUAGGAUGACAGGAGGGUGGUGAACCCCAACUCCACAAGGACAGAGCUCCUAUUCUUGGGAUCCUUCCAGACUACACCCCAUGUAUCCCUUCAUCUGGCUGUUCAUCUGUUCUGAUUAAAACAACAACAACAACAACAACA